rnacentral:rRNA from 1 species
UACAGAGGGUGCGAGCGUUAAUCGGAAUUACUGGGCGUAAAGCGCACGUAGUCGGCUUUGCAAGUCGGGUGUGAAAUCCCCGGGCUCAACCUGGGAACUGCAUCCGAGACUGCAUUGCUAGAGUAUGGGAGAGGGAAGCGGAAUUUCUGGUGUAGCAGUGAAAUGCGUAGAUAUCAGAAGGAACAUCAGUGGCGAAGGCGGCUUCCUGGACCAAUACUGACGAUCAGGUGCGAAA